CAGAGGUCCCAAGCGUUGUUCGGAUUCACUGGGCGUAAAGGGUGCGUAGGUGGCGAGGUAAGUCGGAUGUGAAAUCUCCAAGCUUAACUUGGAAAUGGCAUUGGAAACUACCUGGCUUGAGGUUUGGAGGGGGGACUGGAAUACUUGGUGUAGCAGUGAAAUGCGUAGAUAUCAAGUGGAACACCAGUGGCGAAGGCGAGUCCCUGGACAACACCUGACACUGAGGCACGAAAGCUAGGGGAGCAAACAGGAUUAGAUACCCUGGUAGUCCUAGCUGUAAACGGUGCUUGCUUGCUGUAAAAGGAAUCGACCCCUUUUGUGGCGAAGCCAACGCGAUAAGCAAGCCGCCUGGGAAGUACGGUCGCAAGAUUA
rnacentral:rRNA from 1 species